ensembl:lncRNA
UGUAUUACUAUAUUAUUUAUUAAUUAAUAUGUAAAUAUAUUAAUACAUAUAUAUAUUAACAUAAUAUACAUAUUUGUAUAUAUUAAUUUAUAUAUGAAAUAUAUAUGUAUAAAAUCUCAUUAAAAUACAUCACCAAGUUGUCUCCCAUCACUGAGCCCAUCAAUCACACCAAGAGCAGAACACUAACAGGUAUCAAAACCUGGCUCGAACAUCUACGACUUCUUCUCUACCUCCUCACACUCUGGGCCAUCAGAUCCGGGCUAGGAUGCUGGAUCUGCUUGGUCCUCUCCAACUAACAGACAAGACUAACAGACAAAUAUUAAUAUUUAAUACAUAAUCUAUAAUAUAUAUUGUUAUAUAUGGAUUCAAAGUUCCUUAGAUAAAAUUUUCGAUUCAGUUGAGAAAUAUGUAAUUUUGUGAAUUAUUAAUUUUUUUCUUCGUUUUAAUGGGCCAUACCCCCCAAUUUUAUUCCUUCACCCUAGGAGUUUGAGACCAGCCCGGGCAACUGAAUGAGACUCUGUCUCUAUAAAAGUAACCAUCAAGACAUUAGCCCGGCAUGUGAUGGUAUGCACCCUACUUUAAUUGUUUUUCAGUUCCAUGAAGGCAAGGCAAGUUCACAUUUUCCCAUUUCCAAGACAUGGACCAACAACAUGUAACGUCCCCUUGUUACUCAGUUCUGCUCUCAUGUCAGAGAUCACCAGCUUUCUGGCUAACAGGAGUGUAAUCUUCGGCCUCUCAUCCAGACAUGUCUUGAGUAGAGUUGUUAACAUUUUGCUUAAGAAGGAGGUUGACAACACGUGGCGAGUCAUAGCGCACAGCAAGCUUGAGGGCUCUUCCAAAAUAACAAAUCACUCCACUCAAGAACUUUAAUAAAGACUUUUUUAAACAGCUAGUUUGACACACUUGACUGUUUUAACAUAUGCCUGUCAGUGUAGGCGGAAUAGCCAUUUGCAUGGACUGGCUAGUUUGGGUCGAAAAGCAUCUAGGGUGCUCAAGUGUUCAUCUUUGUAAAUGAUCACCAAGGCUAAAAGGAAGGGACCACAAGGAAUCCUCUUGCCCCACUGGGGUAUGACAUAAUACAAGAUGCUAACUGAGAGUUCUUUGAUGGCCCAGAAACUGUGCUGAGGUCGCUUAUCUAAAGUAGGCAAUGAUUUAGAGGAAGAUUUCACCAUUGCUUUCCUGGUCUGAUAUAUUCAAAUCACCUAGGGGUCAGAUAAGAGUUAUCUGCAGGCUGAAAACAACAACAACAACAGUCAUAAUGACAAUAUUAGUAGUCAUAAACUAAAAGUUAACGCUUUAAAAAUUAAUACAACUGGCCAAGUGCAGCGGCUUUUACCUGUAAUCCCAGCACCUUGGGAAGGCAGGGAGACCAGAACAAGAGAUCAAGAGAUUGAGACCACCCUGGCCAACACGGUGAAAUCCCAUCUCUACUAAAAAUAGACAAAUCAGCUUGCCGCGGUGGUACACAUCUGUAGUCCCAGCUACGUGGGAGACUGAGGCAGGAGAAUCGCUUGAACCUGGGAGGUGGAGGUUGCAGUGAACCGAGAUCACACCACCGCACUCCAGGCUGCCAACGGAGUGAGACUGUCUCAAGAAAGGAAAAACCAAAAAUUGAUAAAACUCAUACAAAACCCUUUAGCUAAUAAAAGCUUACAGUACCAAAAACAUCAGAUUACAACAACAAACACUCUAUAUUACACGAAAAAAUAUAUCCUACUCUAUGCUCUUCUUUAUGUUACUCAGUCCAAAUACUUGCUGGUCUACCUGAUUGUUCGUGGUGAUAUUUUUCACUCUAUGCCAAUAAUUACGUACAUCUUAUUAAUACAUCUGACUUGACUGUUACAACUCUAGAAUGCACAGGUUUUUACUUUAAAAAAGAACUGCUGUACCAUCUCAGCCUAUCAACGGCAUGUGUCUGGGCUUUUUCAAUAAAAAUUCCACCAUUUUCUCUGUCUUGCAAACCUCAGCGAAUAAAAGUGGGGUGGUAUUAUCCAUUAAACAGGAGAAAAAAUUAAUAAUUCACAAAAUUACAUAUUUCUCAACUGAACAGAAAAUCUCAUCUCAGGUGUUUUGAAUAUAUAUAUAUAAAAAAGAUUAAUUAGAUAUUAAAUAUGAAUAUAUGUCAAUAUUAAAUAUUAAUAUUUUAAAUAUAUAAUAUAAAAUAUAUAUUAUAUAUUCUAUACUGUAUACUAUAUAUAAUAUAUAUCAACUCCAACUAACAGACAAGAC